rnacentral:lncRNA from 1 species
GUAAUUAUUUAUUAAUUAUUGUCUACAUAAACUAUCAAUAUUAUAUUGAGGUUUAAGAAGUUCUUUUAUAAAAUUUUUACUGAAAUUACACUGCCAGUCAUGAACUUCAUCAUUAUCAAGUUCUGUCUAAGUCCCAUAUUUUCUCUGUGCUUUGGAAUAAAACUAAGCAGAGAGAUAGACUCCUGCCUCUAAAGAGAUAUCAACCAGAGUUCUAACAGUCAUGCAAAGGCAUUGAUGACAUUGAAGGGCACUCCAUCAAACAAAUGCAAUUCAAAGGCUGAAGCAGAAGAGUGUUUUCUUUCUUUUAGAAAGAAUGAAAUGGAAACGAAUGAAAUGCAAUGGAACUUUAGCACCAUGAUGAUUCAAUGGUAAUUACGUUUAUAAAAAUUGUCCUAAAGUACUAAGAAGUUCUUAAGAGUCUUAUGAAUAUUAAAAAGCAUUUAAUAGUAAUGUAACUUAGUUUUAAUAUUCAGUGCAUUUAAAGUCUCUUUCAAAUUUCUUUGAAAUUUUGUUAUCCCAGAUAUUUGACUCAACCAGAAAUCUUACUUAUUCUCUCACCAGAGUCGACAUUCAAGUGUUUGGAAAAAAUAAAAGAAGGAAGAAAUAAAAGAAAAGAAAAGAGAGAGAAUGAAAGACGUGGUUUUCCGUGCACUCUUCUCGGUAGCAUUUGGGUGGUGAAGCAAUCAAUGGUCGCAGUUUUUGACAGCAAUGCAUUAUAUGGAGAGAGAUACUCAGCUCUAAUUCUUUACCCUUUCUCCAAGUUUUGUAACUAAAUAACCUUUUUAAAUAAAAUAUUGC